rnacentral:rRNA from 1 species
GAUGAACGCUAGCGGCAGGCCUAACACAUGCAAGUCGAGGGAGAAGCCCUUUCGGGGGCAGAAACCGGCGCACGGGUGCGUAACGCGUAUGCAACCUACCUUUCACAGGGGGAUAGCCCGAAGAAAUUUGGAUUAAUACCCCAUAAUAUUAUUGGAUGGCAUCAUUUGAUAAUUAAAACUGCGGUGGUGAAAGAUGGGCAUGCGUCCUAUUAGCUAGUUGGAGUGGUAACGGCACCCCAAGGCUACGAUAGGUAGGGGUCCUGAGAGGGAGAUCCCCCACACUGGUACUGAGACAGAGACCAGACUCCUACGGGAGGCAGCAGUGAGGAAUAUUGGUCAAUGGUCGGAAGACUGAACCAGCCAUGCCGCGUGCAGGAAGAAUGCCUUAUGGGUUGUAAACUGCUUUUAUAUGGGAAGAAUAAGGCGUACGUGUACGUUGAUGACGGUACCAUAUGAAUAAGCAUCGGCUAACUCCGUG